AUCGCGCUUGAAUGUGAGCGAUAAUAGAGACUCAGAGAUCAUGCCUGAAACUUAUCACUAAGUGUCAGAAGAGAUCGGGAAGUUGAAGCAGAUGAUGUACAGAGUUACUCUUGUCAUCAUAAUGGCUUCUCUGCAGUAUUUACACACUUGUUUGGUUGACUGAGGAGAUGUAAAGCAGUGUGAAAGUAACUGUUGCACGGUGUAGAUGCAUUUUGGACUUCCUGUAGUUUUUAUUCCGAUUGUAUUAUACAACUCCGAACAGGUCACUCGCAUAAUAUUCGAGUUCACUCGAAUAAAUAUUUAUUCACAGUCGCACAAAAUACUUUUCAGUCGUAAAUGCGAGUGAAAUGGUCACACUGUAGAGCCCUGAAUUUAUUUGCAACGUUUUUUCCUGUUCAGCGUGAUAACGUUUAAUGUCCCUGACAACCUCUGUAGUGUCAUUUAGCAACAUGUUAGUGUCAUGAUAUCCGAAGCGAAGCUAGCAGCUCGAGCGCUAAAAUGCUAAUUCCAUUUCCAGGUUUUGGCAUUACAAAAUGACAUCAUCCCUGUGCCGUUCUAUGCGGAUUGGCUGUAAGUUUAGGAAGUGCUUGAUUUGAUCUGCAGCUGAGUUUUCUAUGAGCGGAGGACGAACUUUAAACAUCAAUAUCGCAGUCGAUCAUGUUCAUUUAAUUGUGGGCAGCCAAAAUUGUAAUCGCGAUCGAUAUUCGAUUAAUUGUGCAGCCCUAGUACAUGUAUAUACCACUGAAAUGAAAUGCCAUAUAUUCAGAUAUAUCCGCUGUCUGUUCACAGCAGAGCUACGUGGGUUCUCCAGUGCGUCCUACAAGAAUUGGGUGUGAGUCCAGUUCAGAUUCAAUUUUGGAAUCUCAUUCCUCUCCCUCGCAUGACAGCCUCCAAACAGUACAAUUCUAAUGAGCUUGUAUAUACUGAAUUCCAUUGGGAUUUAUUUGAUGUCUGAUUAAUAAAUUGUUUUCUUUGAUUAGCAAUAAGUAAGUAUAUCUGGCUGUUUUGUGUGUUACAAUAUUGAAUGUCAUUUGUCAGCUAUUCACUUUGUCUGCAUUUACUAAAAUUCAUGCAUGUUUAUUAAAAAUGUGUAUACAUUAAAAAAUAAAUUAAAUUCACAAAGUAAAACAUCAAAUGAUGUGUUUUUACGGAGCCCUCCUAGUGCCAGGUAAAAAAAAAAAAAAGAGCUGUGUGUAAUCCGUACCCUCGAUUUUGCAAUCCAUACCCUCGGUUUUACAAUCUGUGCUCUCGGUUUUGUUAACCGUGCGCGCACCGCGUUAAAGUUGGGUUUAUAUUGUACAUUCGCUGUACAUUCGAGCUUCUCUCUUCUAUUUCUCAAGAAAUAAACACACAAAAAGGGCAUAAUGUGUAUUGUCUUAAUAAUGUGUAUUGAGUGGACAUAGAACCAAUACAACUGAAUAUAUUUUUAAAUUUUCUCCCGUUAAAGCCUGUGAAAGCAGCUUUGGGAAAUGCAGGUCAUCAGCGCCUUAUAUUAAUGGAGUCAGUAAAGGACCAUCUAAAGAGUGAAUGACUUAGGCAACUGUAUAAGAUUUUUAUAUGGCACAAUAAGUUUAUAUGUGUAAUAUAAAGGUAUAUCAUUAAUAAUAUAUAUGUUAUAAAAAUUCUUUAUCCAUACUGUAUCCUAACACUGCAAUAAGUUAGAUAUCCUUUUAAGUAGACGACUAUAAACUUAGUAGAAUCUUAAACAGUUGCCCAGCACGGAUUGCAAAACCGAGGGCACGGAUUACACACAGUUGUUGUUUUUUUUUGUUUGUUUUUUUUUUUACCUGGCACUAGGGGGCCUCCAUAUGUUUUCAGUAUAGUACAGCAUGAACUGAAUUUUCAAAUGACUCUUUUUGGGGUUUUUUUUUUUUUUUUUUUUUUUUUGCAUUUUCCAUACUGUCCCAACUUUUUCAGAAUUGGGCUUAUAAGUUAAUUACUUAUUUUUUUAUAUUGUGUGAUGUUCCUUUUUUUCUGCUCUGGAAGCUCCUGUUGCCAAGACAAAUUCCAUUUGAGUGUAAACAUAUUUGGGAAUAAAGUGCAUUCUGAUUCUGCUUUAUAAAACCGUUAGAGGUUAGAGCGCAUCUCUCGGAAAUACAGUCUACUCUUAUUUGAGAUAUUUAGGUGUAAACAGAUUGUGACUGUAAUUUCGGUUUAUCUUACUCUGAUUUACUUGAGCAGGAGUGUUGUAGAGUAUUUGUUGUUUUUCCUGCAAGAUUUCGAUGGACGCUCACGCUUCAUCCCACGCUCCCUCCCGGAAGAGGAAGAGAGAUGACUCCAACGGAGAGACAGAGGAAGGAGAGACGACGGCCAGAUAUAAACGCCACACCGGGGUUGUAAGAGAUGCCGAUCAGCUCAAUUCGUUGGAGGAUCAGCCAUAUGAACGCGUCAGCAUGGAGGAGGCUCGAAGGGGAACACCACCUGACAGUUCAGUGAGGGUGUACACAGACGGCAUCUUCGACUUGUUUCACUUAGGACACGCCGAAGACCUCAUGCAGGCGAAGGUCCUCUUCCCGAACACACACCUCAUCGUCGGAGUGUGCAGUGAUGACCUCGCACACAAACUCAGGGGCUUCACCUUGAUGAACGAGGAGGAGCGCUACGACAUCGUUACACACUGCUGCUACAUGGACAAAGUGGUGCGCAACGCACCGUGGACCCUCACACAAGACUUCCUCACCAAACACCGGGUGUGUGUCUGCUGCAAUUUACUGAAGGAUCAUACACAUAAACACAUCAUUGUGGGCAAUCUAGAAUAGUUCCCUAAGUAUACACACACAUACACACCCACAAAACACACACACACACACAUACAACACACACUACUGUAUACAUACUACAUUAUAGUACUUCCAGUAAUGCAGCUCAGCCACUGCAGUGCCUCAGCUAUUGGGCGCCAUUAUUUCUGUCUUGACUGAUCUUAAUUAUCUGAACUCAUGGAUUUCCUUCAUGACAUAAUAAUAUGAAACUUGUCUGUGCAGAGCGUUAUACUGGAGCUCUAACCUGCGUGCGUGUGUUCUCAGAUUGACUUUGUUGCUCAUGAUUAUAUCCCGUACUCCUCAGCAGGGAGUGAUGUGUACAAACGAAUGAAAGAGGCAGGUAUUCCACGGAGGACAUUGUUUCCCCCCUCAUGCUCCGCGGAGAGAAUCGUUCCUCCCUUUGGCUUCGCGGAGAACAUCACUCCCCUCUCCUGUCCUGUGGAGGAAAUUGUCUGGCUGUCCAGCCCCGCUGAGGACAUCGCUCUGAGCUCCAGCCCCGCUGAGUACGUCGCUCUGAGUUCCAGCCCCGCUGAGGACGUCGCUCUGAGCUCCAGCCCCGCUGAGGACGUCGCUCUGCUUACCUGUCCCGCUGAGGAUGUUGCUCUGCUUACCUGUUCCGCGGAGGACUUCGCUCUGCUUACCUGUUACACUGAGGACGGUGCAUUACUUUCUUGCUCCGCUGAGGACGCCGCUCAGUCUCCUAGUUUUGCUGGGGACAUUUUGCCCAGGGGGCCAGGACCACCAGAUGGAGGGAGUGCAUUUUUGGGCGCUCCAGGAGAAGGGCCCUUGGGGGGGGGGUUCUAUCAUAUAUCAAGGAGGUAACUCUGGACUUCAUGUCCCAGCAGUCACUGCACCCUGUUACUGUCACAUGACCACCUGCACCUGUA